rnacentral:piRNA from 1 species
UAGAAUGGAGCCUGAAAUAGAAGUCUUGGA